CAUACCAAAGUAUUUUGAUGCCUACUACCCCUUUUGGAACUGCAGGCACUCAUCUGUUUUCACAGCUCUCAAAGCCCAUUGGACUUGCCUCUGAAGAGCCCACCCCCCUACUUUGCUCUGAUUGGUCAGGGUAAACGUCUAUCUACAAUCUAGCGCGAUUCAGAAAAAAAGUGAAAAAACCAGGCUUUUACCGAUAUUUUGAACAAGUCAUUACUUCUUACGCUCUGUUAUGCUCCCCAUCUCCCCCCGACUCCCCUGAAGUGAAAUCUGACUGGAACUUUACUCCGUCGGAACUGGAUUGGAAUCCAUUGGAUCGGAACUCCGCCUUCAUUUUGUGACCGUGAAAGCUAACAACAAUAGCACCCCCGCUAACAGCCGGACAUGCACCUGGAUGGAGAGAGAGCAAGGAGAAGUGAGGGGAAGACCAGCGGAUACAAAUUGUCUGGUCCUCUGCUUUGGACUUCUCAUGACCAUAUUUAUAACCUGGAAUACUUUUAGAAGGAACCCUUUUGAUUUUUGUGAUCUGUGGACCCUUACCGACGAAAGGAAUACAAACAAUGGAGGAAUGGAGCGAGAAUCUGGAGUUCUACACGUCCAAAAGGAAAUGCUGUAUUUGGAUGGAAACCUGGCUAGUGUGCUGACAGUACAUUAAUCAUAGGACACACACACACACAAAAAAAAAACACAACACUUUCAACCACAUCUCAUGGUCAUCCUCAGCACAGGGAGAUGUACACUUGUCACUGAGGUGCUUCAGAAACAACACGUAAGAUUGGACCUUGUGUUGUUUGUGUUGUUUCUAAAGUCAAGAAUAAACCCUCAAACCCAAAUAAGAAA